GUACAAGGCAUUUGUAUAUGUUCGAGUGCUUCUAAGGGGACACAUCAAAUGGCAGGGAAUUCUAGUGCCUAGGAUUAGAACUCCUAUGGUCUAUACAACGGUGCCUUUAACUUUAGACAUGAUUGUCUGUCUUUACCACCUAGGUUCUAUCAAUGACAUUGAGUGGAACAGUGAAGAGCUUGGUGUACAAAAGUCUGCAAUACGAAGAUCCUAUUCUAUCCCUGAGAUGGAAGACUGUGAAGAAAAUGAGAGCCCAUUGCUCAUACCAGAACUAGAUUUGAAAGAACCCAAGUUAGCGACAACGCCUGAAUCAGCAUUGACUCCAGCGAAAUGGUGUCCCGGUAGAUGCAAGGAGAAGUGUGCAGAAGGCGAGAGACGUGGACCAAGAGUGAUCUGCCAAGUUCAUACCUAUAUCUACUGUUGUAGAAAAGGAACAUGAGAGAAGACUGUAUGUAAGAGUGAACAUCCCAGGUGAAUACACACGGAGCGUGAAAAAUCUGCCAUUUCAAGCAGGACUCAAGAUGGUUGGGGAUUAAGAUCCGGAGAAGAAAUAAAACAAUCAAACAAUUAAAAUAUUUUUAUAGA
rnacentral:lncRNA from 1 species